rnacentral:rRNA from 1 species
UGCAGUCGAGGGGUACAGGGUAGCAAUACUGCUGACGACCGGCGCACGGGUGCGUAACGCGUAUGCAACCUACCUUUAACUGGGGGAUAGCCCCGAGAAAUCGGGAUUAAUACCGCAUAACACUGUGAUAUGGCAUCAUAUUACAGUUAAAACUCCGGUGGUUAAAGAUGGGCAUGCGUGACAUUAGUUAGUUGGUAGGGUAACGGCUUACCAAGACUACGAUGUCUAGGGGUUCUGAGAGGAUGAUCCCCCACACUGGUACUGAGACACGGACCAGACUCCUACGGGAGGCAGCAGUAAGGAAUAUUGGUCAAUGGACGCAAGUCUGAACCAGCCAUGCCGCGUGCAGGAAGACGGCCCUAUGGGUUGUAAACUGCUUUUAUAUAGGAAUAAACUCAUGUUCGUGAACAUGACUGAAGGUACUAUAAGAAUAAGGACCGGCUAACUCCGUGCCAGCAGCCGCGGUAAUACG